rnacentral:lncRNA from 1 species
GCGCCCCCUCGCGGGCAGGUGCUGCGUGGCAGCCGCUCUGAGCGACCCGGCCGAGUAGACGCUGGAAGAACGGCGGUGCCACGCACCCUCGCCCGCAGCUUCCGGCCGCCGCUGUCCACCUGCUGCCGGCCACUGGAGGUCCGCGGGGGUGUCGGCGGCGAGGCUUGACCGCGCUAUCUAGAGCCUGGGCGAGUCAGGGACCGCGGUUCAGCCCAGGUGGGGCGAGGGCUGGGCGACGCCCUCUUCCCUUCUGAACUCAAUGCCAGCUCACUCUCUGCCUUGCGGGGACUGGAGUUCAAGGUGACAGCCUCCCAAGAAUCAGAUGCCACGUGGAGAGCCGAAGUACACAGUCCGGAUUCCACGCUGGGAUCCGCUCUCGAUCCGCAGUUUGGGAAGCCAUUGCUGGCGACACUCUCUUUUCACCAGGCCUUCUGUCUGAUGAGCUCCAGGGCACACAAGGUAGUGAAGCUUGUGCAGACUGAUGUGGCUUUUCUUAUUCUUGGUUUCCGAUUCGUAAACUGCCUUGUGACUGCUGGUUUAGUCAGGAAGACCAGGGAAAAAAGCAAUAGACAAUGAUGAUUUUUUAAUUUAAUUAAUCAGAUUCUUAGCCGAAGAGAACAAAUUUCUGCCCUAAACGGAUGAUAAGCAACAAAACGCUGAGAGAGGGAAAAACCCUACAUAAAUGGAAACAUAAGGAACAAAAAUUGAGCAGCAACCUGUUCCGCUUGGUUACAUAGAAAUACACUCCCACACCCUCCAAUGGCUGAGCAUAGCCAUCAAGUUCUCAGAAGUUUAAAACCCUUUCAGAGGUUUUUAAAGGGAGCACAGCAAAAUGUAUUAGAUACUCAAGGGCAUCUGAAAACAAUGUUGAAUUUCCUGCUGAGUUGACAAUUUUCAAAAUCUUUACCUGUAAAACCUGAUUUUUUGAGUCUUUGUUUGAUUGUUUUUCCCACUGAAUGUGUAGAAGUUUUGAUGAAGGGACAUUUCUGCUAUGGUCUGUGGUUAUGGGUUAUGGGUUUUCCUAUAGUACCAUUUCUACAAAGGAAAGGCAAAUGUAAAUUAUGCUAAUGUAAAUGUAAAUGUAAAUCAGUCUGAACAGAUUUCUGUUCAAUGGAAAUAAAGUAGCAGGUGAGUGGAGGUAGUUUUAGAACUCAGCCUGAGCCUCAAGAAGAUAAUUUUUACUACAUAUUAAGUCAUUUUUGAGACACUUCUUUUUAAGACACUUUUCUCUAAAUCCUAGAAAGACUCUUUUAUCUGAAUUUAUAGUUGAAAUAUUUGACAGAAUAAUGGAAAAGGAAAACAGUUUGUUUUCAAUCUUCUGAUUACCAACUGAGUAAACCAGCAAGUUAUCGAUAAGUCAACUUAUUGGUGUUUUGUUUGUUUUGGUGUUUGCUUGGCCAUUCUUCUAUUUUUUUUUUUAAACUUAUGUUUCAGUCUGCCCCAAGCUAAAAACAAACUAAAGGUAAUAAGGGACACUCCCAAAUCCUGCACUUGGACCCUGUGCAGACUCUGUGUUCUAAACCUAAUGCAGUAUCUCCAGCAGGGUACGUGUUAUGACUGUGCAGAGAAUGGAUGACAUCUAUUAAAUGUCAAACACCAUCACAUUGUUCUUCAAGUUGUACUUUACUUGGAACAUGGAAGCCAUCUGCUGGAACUCCCAUAUCCAUUUUGAAUCUGCAAAUCUUCACAGUUCCCUGUCCAGGGGAGGAGCUGGACCUCCUGAUACCAUCUGUAUCUGCUUGCCUUCUGCCUCCUUUGAAAUCAUGUCCCUCAUCUCUGUACUCCCUAGAUGUUUCUCCACCAGGGGCCCUCUUUGAUUCUGAAAGUAUCUUCCUUGAUAUCCAACCCUCCCAAAUAUAUUGUCAUGUUUUGUUCAUCAAAAGUAAUGAAAGCAUGAGCUCUUGGCAUUCUUUUUUAAAUAAUCCCAC